UACGUAGGGUGCAAGCGUUAAUCGGAAUUACUGGGCGUAAAGCGUGCGCAGGCGGUUUUGUAAGUCUGACGUGAAAUCCCCGGGCUCAACCUGGGAAUUGCGUUGGAGACUGCAAGGCUAGAGUGUGUCAGAGGGGGGUAGAAUUCCACGUGUAGCAGUGAAAUGCGUAGAUAUGUGGAGGAAUACCGAUGGCGAAGGCAGCCCCCUGGGAUAACACUGACGCUCAUGCACGAAAGCGUGGGGAGCAAACAGG
rnacentral:rRNA from 1 species